CUUCCCUAGCCCCAACUGAUCUACCAUCUCCGUGGACGCUAUCUUAUCCAAACUCCCAGCAUCAAUGAUUAUCUUUGCACUGGCCAAUUCCGACAUAGAUUUUGAAUACAGCCUUCCGUCUUCUCCUCCUUUCUGCUGACGUUGCCACACAAUCUAACGACAGCGAAACUGUCUCCUCUCCUAAGCUUGAGAACCCCCGCUAUGUUUCCGACUUGAACUUACCUUUAGAGCUUCCCGGGCUCUAGGCUCGACAACGUUCACUCUUCCAUCUUCA
rnacentral:lncRNA from 1 species